rnacentral:rRNA from 1 species
UACGUAGGGGCCUAGCGUUGUCCGGAAUUAUUGGGCGUAAAGAGCUCGUAGGCGGUUCGGCAAGUCGGAUGUGAAAUCUCCACGCUUAACGUGGAGGGGCCAUUCGAAACUGCUGUGACUCGAGUCCGGUAGGGGAGUGUGGAAUUCCCGGUGUAGCGGUGAAAUGCGCAGAUAUCGAGAGGAACACCUGCGGCGAAGGCGGGUAGCUGGGCCGACACUGACGCUGAGGCGCGAAAGCCAGGGGAGCGAACGGG